AGUCAUUCAGAGGUUAUGAUUUUUGGGCUGCUGUUAUUGGAUAUCAUGUUCCAGUUCGGGACUCCAUUGGUCUGGAGCUUGUCAGUCUGUGGCGCGCCAGCGCUCGCGAAGCCGCUGCGCAGACAGUGCACGACACGCGAGUGGCCAGAGAGUGUCUGGAGUCUGUCUGAAACUGAUAAAAAUGGUGAUGGAGUUCAUCCAGAGUCUCGCUCAUACUCAUUAGAAAAACAAAGGGAGACAGAGCGGAAUUAUACAAUCAUCCAACACUGUAGUCUGAUCGUAGCUUGAAAACUAGAUUCUAUUGUAGCGCAUUUCAAAGUUUUAUUCCAUGUUUUUCACCAGACAGACAGUUCAUUAAUUCACAGGCAGGAGGAUUACAUUUCUGAAGUCUUCUGAUGACCUCUUGGAGCUGUCACAGAUGCAGCUACACUUAAAGGUGAUACCUGUGUUCUGCGGUUGUGCUGCCAUGCUGCCGGGUGGAUUUGUGGCCUUGUGCUUCAGUAUCUGAGGUACACAAUGUUCUGGAAGAUUCGGCCUCUUGAGUGACCCAUUGGCCCUGAAAUCUUGCUCGUAACUGGAAAAGCUUCGAAAUGCGAAACUUAUGA